UGUCUUUUUGAAAAUAAUAUAAAGUCUAAUCUGCCCACUGAUUUAAUAUUAAAGGGCUGCAGUAUAUUGACUGUACAAAGGUAGCAUAAUCAUUAGUCAUUUAAUUGAUGACUUGUAUGAAAGAUUGGAUGAAAUAUAAACUGUCUCUUAAUUAUAUUUAGAAUUUAAUUUUUUAAUUAAAAAGUUAAAAUGAAUUAAAAAGACGAGAAGACCCUAUAGAGUUUUAUAAUUAAAUUAAUUGAGAUUUUUUGUAAGAUUAAAAUUAAAAUUAAUUUAUUUAUUUUGUUGGGGUGACAGAAAAAUAUGGAGAACUUUUUUUAUAAUAUUACAUAAAUAAGUGGUUAAAUGAUCCAAUAUUAUUGAUUAUAAGAAAAAAUUACCUUAGGGAUAACAGCGUAAUUUUUUUUUUUAGUUCAUAUAAAAAAAAAAGUUUGCGACCUCGAUGUUGGAUUAAGAUAAAAUUUAAAUGCAGAAG
rnacentral:rRNA from 1 species